rnacentral:tRNA from 1 species
AGGGAGACCUAAUUCAGGUAGGAGACGAAAAAAAAGUAGUCCCUACCAGGAAUCAAUCCCAAAAGGUCGGAGCGAGGCGAAAUUGGCUUUCAAACUAGGUUCUGGGUUCAAACAAGACCUGAAUCAGGAACAAGGGCUAUUAGCACAGGUGGUUAGAGCGCACCCCUGAUAAGGGUGAGGUCCCUGGUUCGAGUCCAGGAUGGCCCACCUGCACAGGUGGCAAAAACAAGAGAAGCGAGGAAUCAGCACCUUAUCUUACUGACAUAGUAAGAGAGAAUGCUGGCUCUGAGUAAAGAGUCCAGAGGAACCUUGAAAACUGCAUAGAGCUAGGUGAAAAAGCCAAAAAAGAAGACCGCAA